rnacentral:rRNA from 1 species
UUAGCCGGCAGCUUUCUCUCUGCAACUGUCACAUGGUCGAUCACUGAAGCUAAGCAGGGCUGCACCCAGUCAGUUCCUGGAUGGGAGACCACAGUGAGGUCAGCAGGGGGCGCUCAAC